rnacentral:snRNA from 1 species
AAACAAAAUGAUCGUUUGAAGAAU